rnacentral:sRNA from 1 species
ACGCCUUUCUGCGCGGGCGGCGGCGGCGGCCGGAGCGGCGAGCAUGGCCCGCGCCGCGCCGGGCGCUGACUGAGGUCACAGGAAGCUGGGAGUGGGACCCUGAAAGAACUCGAGUUCUGUCCUUAGAUGUUGGGCAUGCAGCAGGCAAAGGGAGAAUGAGAGGAGACAAGGACCUGGCUUCCCAUCUACAGACUGUUCAGCCAAGGCCAUGCCUAGAGUGGGAUCUGCUAAAUGGGCACAGCAGAACAUUGGAAGAAGCACCUUUGAGCCAGUGCUGCUGGGGUCUCCGUGGAUUAGAGCCAGGAGCCCUGAUGAGGCCUGUGGGCGGGGCUUCACUUUCGACCCUGAGAAGCCAACUCCACAUCUCCUUCCCUCUCACCCUUGAGCCGUGGGUAGUUCAGGGAGGCCACAGCCUUCUUUCUGUGCCAUGGCCUAUCCCAAAGUCACCUCCACUCACAACGUCGUGACCUUAGGGUCGUGCUGCGGCAGCCUGGCGCCCGACAUGUGAAGGGGAACCUGCCAGGGGAUUACUGUGAGCUAACAGCAGGAUAGGCUGG